GAAAGGCCAAUCAAACCGGGAGAUAGCUGGUUCUCCCCGAAAGCUAUUUAGGUAGCGCCUCGUGAAUUCAUCUCCGGGGGUAGAGCACUGUUUCGGCAAGGGGGUCAUCCCGACUUACCAACCCGAUGCAAACUGCGAAUACCGGAGAAUGUUAUCACGGGAGACACACGGCGGGUGCUAACGUCCGUCGUGAAGAGGGAAACAACCCAGACCGCCAGCUAAGGUCCCAAAGUCAUGGUUAAGUGGGAAACGAUGUGGGAAGGCCCAGACAGCCAGGAUGUUGGCUUAGAAGCAGCCAUCAUUUAAAGAAAGCGUAAUAGCUCACUGGUCGAGUCGGCCUGCGCGGAAGAUGUAACGGGGCUAAACCAUGCACCGAAGCUGCGGCAGCGACGCUGAUGCGUUGUUGGGUAGGGGAGCGUUCUGUAAGCCUGUGAAGGUGUGCUGUGAGGCAUGCUGGAGGUAUCAGAAGUGCGAAUGCUGACAUAAGUAACGAUAAAGCGGGUGAAAAGCCCGCUCGCCGGAAGACCAAGGGUUCCUGUCCAACGUUAAUCGGGGCAGGGUGAGUCGACCCCUAAGGCGAGGCCGAAAGGCGUAGUCGAUGGGAAACAGGUUAAUAUUCCUGUACUUGGUGUUACUGCGAAGGGGGGACGGAGAAGGCUAUGUUGGCCGGGCGACGGUUGUCCCGGUUUAAGCGUGUAGGCUGGUUUUCCAGGCAAAUCCGGAAAAUCAAGGCUGAGGCGUGAUGACGAGGCACUACGGUGCUGAAGCAACAAAUGCCCUGCUUCCAGGAAAAGCCUCUAAGCAUCAGGUAACAUCAAAUCGUACCCCAAACCGACACAGGUGGUCAGGUAGAGAAUACCAAGGCGCUUGAGAGAACUCGGGUGAAGGAACUAGGCAAAAUGGUGCCGUAACUUCGGGAGAAGGCACGCUGAUAUGUAGGUGAAGUCCCUCGCGGAUGGAGCUGAAAUCAGUCGAAGAUACCAGCUGGCUGCAACUGUUUAUUAAAAACACAGCACUGUGCAAACACGAAAGUGGACGUAUACGGUGUGACGCCUGCCCGGUGCCGGAAGGUUAAUUGAUGGGGUCAGCGCAAGCGAAGCUCUUGAUCGAAGCCCCGGUAAACGGCGGCCGUAACUAUAACGGUCCUAAGGUAGCGAAAUUCCUUGUCGGGUAAGUUCCGACCUGCACGAAUGGCGUAAUGAUGGCCAGGCUGUCUCCACCCGAGACUCAGUGAAAUUGAACUCGCUGUGAAGAUGCAGUGUACCCGCGGCAAGACGGAAAGACCCCGUGAACCUUUACUAUAGCUUGACACUGAACAUUGAGCCUUGAUGUGUAGGAUAGGUGGGAGGCUUUGAAGUGUGG
rnacentral:rRNA from 1 species